UUUUUGCCUUUUUCCUAAAUUUCUCCUUUUUUUCUAUUUUUUGACAUAAGAUUUGGAUCAGCUUGUUACAGAUCUGAUAAGCCUCCUGUCUCAAGCUAGGCGUAUGCCUCCACAGAUGCUAUACCUGUUCAUUUAAGCACUGUGAGUGUACAUUUCAUUCAUCACUUUCUAUAAAUAUUUUUAUUAAGUAUUCUAUAAUAGAUACUGAUAUUACUACUCUUCCCCACAGUUGGCCACUCUGUCUCUGGGUGCCGCCCCUUGCCUCUCCGAUGGUUGGGGAUUGUGUGAAUUCCAUCUGCAGCGGCUCCUCAUUUUUUCCUGCCUAGGUUAUCCUUUUGGCUGUCAACUUGUGCUCAUCCGGCCUGAUUUUUCAGGCAUGUGAUGGAACCAGGGUAUACACGCACCCUGUUGUCUUUUUACUCCCACUACGGACCAGCAGAAUCCAAACUCUGAUCUCAACCACCCCUGAAGAAGCCUGACCGGGCGAAAUAUAUAGGGUUUACCAACCGGGUUGCGAUCUCUGUUACAGUACUGAUGUCUGUUAUGGGAACCUUUUAACUUUGUACUCUUGAUCAGGUUGUUGAGUUGUGUAGUGGGCUCCUGUGAGGUCUAUGAUAUGCCUUACAACCUGACGCUACUCUGUUUUUUAAUAAAUCAUUAAAAUUUAUAUUAUUU